GGAAAAGACCACCCGCUGAGUUUAAGCAUAUCAAUAA
rnacentral:rRNA from 1 species